rnacentral:lncRNA from 1 species
UUUUUUUUUAGUUUGAGCUCGCUAAUACAGCAUGAUAAGGAGCAGUUAUAUAACAGGGGCCUACAGGGAACACUUACCUCCAAAUUUGUGCACGGCUCUGGAUGGCCAUUGGUGCAAAUCAUAGUUGCGAAACAACAAAAGAAUGUGAGAUUCACUCCAGGUAUUCAAACAGGACGCACCAUUAUAACUACCAACUUGCAUAUUAAAAGUUGAGAAAAGAAAAUCAGCACAAGAUAUGUUCUGAUGUAAACCUAAAAGGUGAGCUCAGAUCACACACUUCAGGUGCACCCACAAGGCCACAAGAGAUGGACGGUGCAGAAUCUGGAAAAAGCUGCAAAAAAAACCUGACUCAAAUAACUUGUCACCUAAUCGAGUUCUAUUUACAAGAUGACACAUGACUCUCAACAAAUUUUUUGGUGCAACAUCACCUUCACACCACACAGCAAUUGUCGGUCGCUUAAGUUCCUUCAUCCACACAUUUAAUUCAAGACCCCAGAAUGCAGAGACAACCAUUGGAUGUUCACAAUAACAGUAAGUGACUUCACUCUUAUUUUGACUGGACUCAUAUUUACAUCGAAGGGGCAAAAAUGAUUGGCAUUGCAAGCAAGAAAGCAUCAGAUACCCAGAGAGGCUGCAGAAAGGGAAGAACAAAAGACCACACUCAUCUAUAUCUAUAGCAUGGACAGGAAAAGUGGACAGUUAGCUUCCUACAAGACCAAGGUAGAUACAAAUCUACACUCAUGGGGAUCAUUUGACGGAUCAGGGCAAUCGCCGCCUGAAGGGGAUCAUUUGACGGAUCAGGGCAGUCGCCGCCUGAAGUUCCUACUGGUGCUUUGGUAUGUACGGACCAGCAGGCCGACACCCAAUCCGAUACCCACACAAACGCCAAGGCCAAUUCCAACUCCGACACGGACACCGGCAUUAAACCAUGAAAGCUCACCGUCCUCACCCUCUAUAAAGUCCUGCCUUGAGUACAAACUGUUAUAGUCAACAUCCACAUUCGUCUCUGAUUUGGAAUCCUGGAAUUCUGAUACCUGAAGCAAGUAACAGGAAAGAUAAGUAUGCUAUCAUAUGUCAGUGACAUAAACCAUAAAUGCCUCGUGCUUUACAUAGGAUAUAUUAGGUUAAAGCGGCUUAAAGAAUGCGUCCCAUGAACUGGCCCACAACUAUGUGUAAAUUAAUGUGCUGAACAUUGAAUAUCCAUGAAUACAGUGAAUAUCUUCUCAAUGCUGUGAAGAACAGCUAAUAAUAUGCAUUGACAUUACUAUCCUCAUUGUUAUAUCCAUAUUCACUGGAGAAUUUCCAUUAAGCGAAUCAUCUUAUCUAAAAAUAGCAGUAAAGCUGGUCAUUCUACUAAUGAGGCAACUUCUUAGCAAAGCUAAUGAUCUCUCUUCGCACCUUCUAUCCUUUUGCAUUUACUGGUAAUCUUAUUUGGCAGAGUUGCAGUAGAUAAAAUUAUAUAGCUGCAAAUUUGCAAAUGAGAUUCCUUCGUUAAAGAUCAAAACAGAAUUGUCAAAAAUUGACCACUGGGUGUUCUCAUGGAAGAUAGGACACCAUCUCUUAUGGUACAGUACAAAUCGGCUACCUAAGCUCCCAGUUCCAAUGAACAUACGAGCACGGCAGACAUCAGCUUCUACAGUCCAUUUAUCAGAUGGGUACACCAGCAAUCAGAUGUACAGAAUCCGCCCAAACAAAAAUUGAUCCAAGGACCUACCUAUCAAAUGUGUGCAGUUUGCACUUCAACAAAAGGUCGCAUUGCAAGAUAGAUAUUCAGCUGAUGUAAUGGCUGUUACAAGGUAUGUUAUUAUCUCCAAGUCAUCCUCAUAAGAGUUACCAUGCAGCAAGGCAGAAACAACACUCAGAUUUUCAUAUCUUUUUUUAUUAAAAAUAAACAGUUCUAGGAGGUAGGAGCAAAUGCACAAUACAACCAAUCAACCAUGAUACUGGUAUCAGGUAAACUUUCUUUCCUACUCUAUAAAUGAGAAUAAGUUUGCAAUAGUUUUAUGGAAGCUAUGUAUAAACUGGGUUGGUGGGCCGUGGACAUCAACACGAGUAAUGAAAUAAUAUGGCGAUGUGCCAUUAGACUUAAAUAAUAGCAACACAUAUAUACAUAGGAAAAAAGUUAGCUGAGCAUAUUUGCAGAAAUAAUCCUUUUGUCACAUGUAGGUUGAGCAUGGUCAAAUCGAUUAAAUCAAGAAGUUAACAGUAAAGGAGUUACAUUCCAUAGUUGUUACUUAUAGUGAGUAAUUUAGAACUCCCAAGUGAGUGCCAAGCACAAGAGUUUGUAUGCUUCAGGCUAAAGGUGCACAUAUGGGAUCGUAGUUGGAUAAAAGCAUUUGAGAAUGGCCACUGAUACAGAUGGUAAGUACCUUCAAAGAGUCUUCAGCUGACUCUUCUUUCUGUUGUUCAGUUGCCUCAUUCUCAGGGAUGGAAUCAAGCUUUAGUUUCAUUUCAGACUUCCUUCGUGAUAUAAGCUGGAUCGUCUUUGUUAGUAUGAUAGGUGUGCCAGAGAAAGUGCCAGCAACAUAAACCUCAAUGGCUGGCUGUACAUAUUCCAAGCCUGUGGACAGUUUUCCCUUCAAGAAGCCAUUACAUGAUGUUGAUGAUUGACACUUCAUAUUCCAUUUCUUGCCACUGUUCUUUGUCUCCCCAACUACUCCAUUGGCAUUGCAUAAGUCUAGAUCUCCUGUGAGCAAGAGAUCAUUCUUAUCAAGCACCUGGAACCUCACACUCCCUGUCAUCCGUAUAUUAUCUGUGCUCACAAAUGUAGCUUCCUCAGUCUUCUUGUCAACCCUGUCUCUUCUGAGUGACGAGGAUAUGAACUCCGUGUGCAUGCUGCUCCGCUGGCCAUUCACCUCAAUAACUGUAUCUGGUGACAAAGGGAUGUGGUUGAGCGUGAGAUGCUCUGGUGCAGAUUCAUCCACCACACAGUUGCUCACCCUAAUAUAGAACACCUUCAAGUCAAGCCAAGGUGAAGACCUUGGCGCAUAAAGCGGGUGCAUAAUAAUCUUCCGUGCCGCCUCAAAAGCCACCCCGUCACCCAUCUUUCUGUAUCUUACCCAGACAAAUCCUUAUCGCAUUGCCACGGACAUCAAUAUGUAGAUUACACUACCAGAAACUCUAACUGCAGCCUCAAGAACAGUUCAAUUCCACUACCUGCAAAAGCAACACGACAAACAUUUAGAACAAGAGAUUUUAACAAAGUAAUCUUUUGUUAAAUUGAAGCAACCCAAACAUAAACCAUGCUAACUUGGCCACACAUUUACCAACCAGCUAUCCAAGAUGCUAGACUUGUAUGGAAAGCGGGACCAAUUGACCACAAAUACAUCUACUGAUUUCAUACACUUAACAGACGGAACUCUAAUUGCAAUCUAGAAGUAAAUAGAACAGAAGAAUAACCAAAUGAUCAGAAUCCCAAUUGAAUCCCUCAAAGGGGCUAAGUUGACGUGGGGCUGAGCCUCAAAAGAAAUUUAGAGAACAAAACGGAUUAAACACUCCACCAUGCAGCAAAUGAAUCGCCAAAUCAAAGAACUGAAUGGCAGGGGCGGACCCAGCAUAGGACAUGGGUGUACACAUGUGCACCCGAUAAUUUUUGCAAACGAAAUCGAAGUUAGUAGGUAAUAUAUUGUAACCGGAUCAGAUCCGAUUACAAAUAGUUUUGUCAGGGUUUGGGGUGCUCCGUAUCGCGCAUCAGAAGGAAAGAGAAGGGGCGGGCAUACCUGGUGGAUGCUCGUCGCCGGCAAAGGCCUGGGCGAAGACGUGAGGAAUGGCGCCGCCGCUCGCCCAGUCGUUGCCGCCAGGGAAGGAAGACCAAGGGAGGAGAGAGUCAGAGAUAUUUUGAAUCGAUCCACUAGGUCUGGAUGUAUCAUUCCAAGUCCGGAUCGAUCGGCGCACCCAGGGCCAGCGGCAGCGCGCAGGAGGCGGCGGGCCACGACACAAGAGGGAAUUCGAGCCCACGAGUUCGGGUCGCGGGAGGCUUGGGCAUGCGUGCGACGGCGCGGCCAGGGGGAAAGCUUCGUUGGGAGAUGGCGGAAGCCGGGGAUGCGGGGCACGCGGAAGAGGGGAGGAACAAGGUCGGGGGACGGCAAUGGAUGAUGGGGAUAGUAUUUUUUUAGAAAAAAAAGUCUAAUUAUGUUUGCAAGGGGAUAGAUUUAAUCAAAAAUAACUUUUUUCGACCACUUAAUUUCCGUCAGAAAGGUAGCUCCCUUCUGGCUCCGUUUAUAUCGUGGCUUGAGGCCAUUUAUUAUUGGAGUAGUAGCAUUUUGUAAGAUAAUUAAACUCCUGUAACUUUAAUUUUGGACUAAGAAACUGUACAUGAAUAGUUUUCUAAUCCGCAUAAAAAAUUCAGAAGAACUCCAGAUUGACGGUUUCGCAUCCGCGCCAACAUCCAUUGCCGGCAACGUGGAGUGGGGAUGUGGCUACUAUCAGUUCACGCUUCAAUUCAUCAUCCCAAUCUCAAAAUAUCUCUCUCGCUAUCGGUCCUACAAUUUGAUUAAUCUGCCACACAAAUUUUCUUGUGUUUUUUUUUCUCUUCCAAAGCUCCCAUUCACAAGGUUGCCCGUUUGGAUUCAUCUGCCAGGUCACCAGGGAUAGAGUGGUAGGAAAUGCUUUGUCUUGAUAAAUGUUAACAGAUUUUUCUACAUUUCUUGGUCAUUGAUGAGCCGCUGUGAAGAAGUUCUCGCUCCUUUUCAAAAAGAACGAAAUUUUCGCUUAGUUUUGUUCAAAACUUAUCUAAUAUAUCUCUGGUAGGUUAUGAUUUAUGAACAAACAUCAGAAAAUUAUCUCCUUUUGCCACUUCGGCGACAUGGUGGAUUGAUUCCAGUCAUUUGUGUGGUUCGUUAAAAUGCUUUGUGACAUCAAAUUUGAUUGCACGCCCAGUUGCACUCUCUUUGAUCAGAUUUCUCACAGAAUAAAGAUGCCACUAUGUAGCAGCAUCUGUUAGGAAAAAAGGCAUAUAAGAUGGCUAUUCUGAUCCUCAAUUAUUUGCUGUAAUUAACACGAGUAUUUGAUGCAAAGUUUCCAUCUGAAAAGGGAGGGAGGACCAGCAAGUCAUCUCAUUGUUCCACGGAGCAAGUUCCAGAUAGAUGACUUCCAGCAGAUGACUCAGGACACAUAUUAUAUUGGAACAGAGGUGUGCAUAGCCAAUUGCGGACAUCAGAAUACUUUUUUUCUUACCGACUAUGGACCCUGGAGACUACAUAGAGCACCACACGGUUCCUCUUCCUGUCAGUUCUCUCAAAGCAGAAGCAGGUAGCAAAUGAUAGAGCAGGUGACCAAAAGCAAUACUGUAUAACAAAAACAUAAUUAACCUCUGGUAUAAUGGGCAGUAAUACAGGAAUCCGAACCGAACAUAACAAGAACAUAAUUGACUUAUGGUACAGAUAGUCAACAAAGAUCAGGAUUUUACAACAUACAACCCUUGCUUUCGAAUGCAAAUGUCACAUAAGCAGGCACACAUGAAUUCUAGUCAUAUUCUGGGAUGCCUACAUUUUAAACAGCAAAAUGGAUGGCUCAGCCAGUUAAUUAUAUGUUGCCAGGUACAACAUAAUGUGAACAUACAGGGCAAACUACAGCAUGCAUGAUUAUUACUGUACAGCAGGCAGGUUGUGACUUGAGAAGCAGCAUGGAACAAGUUAAUGUGAGUAUGGAUCAUUGGAGCAUAAGCAUUCAUCGACCAACUGGCGUAGGUUGGGGUUCUCCAAGGCUGCUGCAACUCUCUCCUUGUCGUUCAGUUGCUUGUUUACUGCCAUUUCAUUGACAAUCACAUGUUAAAUAUUAAAAUGACACAGUUGCAAUUGCAUUAUAUGCUGUUGGUAUUCUGCUGAUAGAAUAGGUGCAUGGUAAGGUUGGCCUACUACGGUAGGAUGUCAUAUUCUUGUGCAGAUAACAAAGAAAAAUAUGCAAACAUAUGUUAUAAUUUUACACUGAUCAGUCUAGUACUUUGAUAACCUAGUACUUAAACAAAGAUAGAUGAAGCAAAACAAAAAGGUCUACUAUUAACAUUUUAGUCUGGUCAAAAUGGCAUCUCUGCUGAUAGGCUGCAACAUAUCAUCUCUUACCAACCUUUAAUGUGCCCUUGUUAUUCUUUCAAAUAUGCUUACCAAAUAAUGCUUAGUUUGGCAUUCGAGAACAGGAACUAAGAUCGGCUAUCACAUUAUGAUACAUAAAAACAAAUUUAUGGCGAAAAGAUAUUAUAUGAAAGUAUGUGGACCCACGGACAGUGGCUGAGCCACAUAAUAUUUUAUUCUUAGAUAUUAGCCUGUGUAUCAGUUAGAAACUUGCCAGUGCACAAACCUGAUUCUUCAUUAGCAAGAGACCCUGGGGCAACUUUGAUGUCAAUCUGUAAAUUAGUUCAAAUGUAAAGGAUCACUAAGUGGGGAUUGCCAUAUUCUGUAAUGACCAAUGCUCAGAGAAUGUAAUAAAAUAAAGAACAACUGGCAGCUCAGUUGCAGCAUAGCUACCUUCAUAUAUUAACAAUGUACUCUCUUUUUUUUGAGGAAAUGGCUCGUUAAAUAUAUGAAACAAAAUAGGUCCACGAAAAUAUUUCAUGAAGUUAUACCGAUGUAGCCAAUCGUAAUCCUAUGUCAGGCCAAAAUAAAUAUUCAUUGCUGCUAACUACGCCAUUGCUCUAAAAUUUUGAGGCUCAAAAGGACAGAUUUAGGGUGCAUUGGUAGGUCUAUGAAACUAUUUCAUGAAUGUUAUAUUGCAGCCUGGCUUGGUUCUCUUGCUCUGGUCCACACCAUAUGUUUAACUUGUUCCAUGCUCUGGUCACGGAAUUUCAAAUAUGCAUAUGUUUCAAGUUAUUGAUGAACAAUAUUAACUACCAAAUGAUAGAUCAAAUCCUGCCAGUCUGACUGUGUAUUUCAUAAUACAGAAUGAUAGAGGCAAACUGAAUUAAUCAGCUCACAUAAGCAUAGUUCUAAAAUGGCAUAGGGCAUACCCUGAAUUACAAAGCAACUCAAAUGGUCAUCUUAAUAAGAAUUCCAGAAACAGGGAAACAUACAAGCACCUUAAAAUGUGGAGGGAAGUUCUGCAUCAACUUGAGUCGGAGGCACAGACCAAUUACUGUGGCCAUACUGCAGUGCUGCACAGUUGGAGUGAAGGUUAUCCUGCAGCAAAUCACAAGAUUUAAGGAAUUGCCAAAAAUAAGUGAAAGCUAGAUAUGAGUUCUCAAUAUUUCUACAGUCGAGCAAUGCGCCCAAAUAAGACAAUGCAACCUCAGUAUCUCACACCCUGAGAGCAUGUACAAUGAAUGGACGUGACAAGCGUGUUGGGGAUCGCCUAAGAGGAGAUCACCUUCGAAUGUUGAAAUGCGGUUGUGCAGCUAGUACGACAGGGGUAAGGAACCGAAGGUUUCAUAAUAGUUAGUCAAUGCGCGACAAAUCGGGUCCUGACCUUAAAUCAAGCGAAGAGGUAAUCUCCAGAUAAGAGUUUCCCUUCUGGUUUGCAGGGCAGACGAGAUGACGAUGAAGAUCGAGGUCCAAGUUAAGGAGGUUUAAGGACCAGGGGGCACGACUUUUACCUUCGAUCAAGCCGAGGGAUGAGUCAAGAUGCGGGGUUCGAUCCAUGUAACGUUCAGAAGGGUGGUCUUCCAAAGAUGACAGGCCGAAGGUCAAAGGAGGAGAAGCAUGAUCCGUGUGAACCAAGACGAAGAAGCAAAUUAGGAUACGUCCACCUUUGUGACCAUUUUGUAAAGCAUAUUCCAAGAAUGUAACAAGUGAUCAGGGGCAGAAGGGUCAAGAGAAAUGGUCCUUCCUCUUCCUAUAAAUAGGGAUCCAAGGAUCCACCCAUACUGUUCAGGGGGGCUGAUUCUGAAAACGGAAUUGAUAUUAUUCGGAUCAUUCAAUUGUGGGUAUUUUGUGUCGCAACUACUACUGUCCAGUUUCGAGUCCUCUCUAAACAAACACAGAGGACAGCAAGAUCAGGGAAACUGAUAAGUGCAUGCACAUAACCGUGGGAGUGCAAAAAUGCUAAAAGAACAGAUAAAAUAGCUCAGGACUACACAACUUAUCACAGAUCCACUACCAAGCAUAAGCAAUUCCCACAUAACCUACACCCGAUGGUAAAUGUCAAACAAGGAGAACGGAGGAAACAUACAUCUAGGCGCCUAUAGUCUUAAUAUAUCUUGUCAAUAAGCAAUUCCAGAUCCAGCAAGCCAGGUUGUGCAAGUGUUGCGCAAUCCAACCACAAACCCACAAGGAUUCUGAGAAUUCAGAGAAAUCUAAGAGGCACGCCGAUAUAGGACAUGGACAUCACGAAGAUAUCUUAGUCGCCGCACAGGAUCACAGACAUUAAGCACGAUCCCGAACCCCUUUCGCGAUACCCUAGUCACGAUUUCAGAGCUCAUUCCGCAUCAACAUUUUUUUAGGACAGUACAAUGGCAACAAUGGAGUGUCAGGAUAUAAAGUCAGCAUACGUACUGGAUGCGGCCGAGUUUCUCAUCGACGGAGAUGGACUCCUGCGAGAGCACGCUGAGCUGCUCCAGCGAGUACGGGUGCUCCGGGUCCCUGAUGUCCCGCACCGUAUCUGGCGCACCGCACCACGAAAGCACACGCAUCCAUCAGGUCCAGCUAUCCCGCGAAGUAAACUAGCAAAGCAAGGCUGAAGAAAAGAAACCGAGCGAGGUGGACUCGCGAGGCGAGGGCUGUGGUACCGUACCGAAGACGUCGAGCGGGUCGAGCGCGUCCGCCGCGUGCGGGUGCGCGGCGCGCUCCGGCCGCUCGUGCACCACCGGGUUCGCGUUGAUCAUGCCCACCGUCAUCUUCCUCCUCCCCUUGGAUGCGGCGGUGCGGAUUGAUUUGGGAGCAGAAUGGGAGAGGGAAGUCGAGAAGAGAAGAUGAGGACGAAUAUUUUUUUUUCUUUGUCGGGUCUUAAUCAUUGCCUCAUUGGUGUGCACACUUCCCCCUAGUUGCGGGAAAACACUCACUCAAGUGGGCCAUCCCGUCUAUAUUUUGGCCCAUAGAAUUCCACGAAAUAAGUCAGCCCGUAUAGAUCAUGGACGCCCACGGGCUUUACCCCUAAAAACGGUAAGGCUCAUGGUCGUCGGCUCGGAUCCACACGGAAGCUCCUUCAGAACAUGCAAAAUGCCGCCUUGGCAGCCGGGGCCGCGGUGGCGCGGCCGGCGGCCAUGGCAGCGGCCAGCGACCACUAUGCGCGGCUCCUGCAGCUCUGCCAGACCGCGGUGAACCCUUCCGCAGGCCGGGCCAUCCACGCGCACGCCGUCAAGGCGGGCCUCCUCGUCAGCGCCUACCUCUGCAACAACCUCCUCUCGUACUACGCCGGCGCCAGCGUGAGUGGUGGAUCCUUCCGCGACGCACGGAACCUGUUCAACGAGAUCCCGCCCGUGCGGCGGAACGUGUUCACCUGGAACACGCUUCUGUCGAUGUACGCCAAGUCCGGCCGCCUCGCUGACGCCCGCGCCAUGUUUGACGGAAUGCCUGAGCGGGACGCGGUGUCCUGGACCGUCAUGAUCGUCGGGCUCAACCGCGCCGGCCGCUUCUGGGAGGCCGUGAAGACGUUUGUGGACAUGGUUGGCGAGGGGCUGGCGCCGACACAGUUCACGCUCACCAAUGUGCUCUCAUCGUGUGCCGCAACGGAGGCCAGCGGGAUUGGGAGGAAGGUCCACUCCUUUGUCGUCAAGCUCGGUCUGAGUAGCUGCGUGCCCGUGGCCAACUCGGUGCUCAACAUGUACGGCAAGUUUGGGGAUGCUGAGACAGCAACGGCUGUGUUUGAGAGGAUGCCGGUGCGUAGUGUAUCGAGCUGGAAUGCCAUGGUGUCACUGUACGCCCGCCAGGGUAGGAUGGACUUUGCUGUGUCCAUGUUCCAUAACAUGGAAGAACGAAGCAUUGUCUCUUGGAACGCUGUCAUAGCAGGGUACAACCAGAAUGGGCUUGAUGACAUGGCAUUGAAGUUCUUCUCACGAAUGCUGAGUGAUUCUUUCAUGGAGCCAGAUGCAUUCACAGUAACCAGUGUCUUAUCAGCUUGUGCUAACCUGCGCAUGUUGAAGAUGGGAAAACAAAUGCACUCUUAUAUCUUGAGAAAAAGAAUGCCAUACAGCGGUCAGAUCAUAAAUGCUCUCAUCUCAACUUAUGCGAAGUCCGGAAGUGUUGAGACUGCGAGGAGAAUCAUGGAUCAGGCAGUGAUUUCCGAUCUGAAUGUUAUUUCCUUCACUGCUCUCCUGGAAGGCUAUGUCAAGCUUGGGGACAUGAAGCAGGCAAGGGAAAUCUUCGACGUUAUGAACAAUCGAGAUGUCGUUGCCUGGACCGCAAUGAUUGUUGGCUACCAGCAGAAUGGUCAAAAUGAUGAGGCCGUGAAGCUCUUCAGAUCAAUGAUCAAAAGUGGCCCAGAACCUAACAGCUAUACGCUUGCUGCUAUUCUUAGUGCCUGUGCAAGCCUGGCAUGCCUUGAUUAUGGAAAGCAGAUCCAUGGCAAGGCUAUCAGAUCAUUACAGGAGCAAUCUGUUUCUGUCAGCAAUGCCAUUAUCACAAUGUAUGCGAGGUCAGGCAGUGUGCCAUUGGCGAGAAGGGUGUUUGAUCGGAUUUGCUGGCGCAAGGAGACAGUCACAUGGACAUCGAUGAUCGUGGCAUUGGCACAACAUGGUUUUGGAGAAGAAGCUGUUGGCCUUUUUGAAGAAAUGCUUUGCGUUGGUGUGAAACCAGACCGCAUAACUUACAUUGGCGUGUUUUCAGCUUGCACACAUGCUGGUUUUGUGGACAAAGGGAAGAGGUACUAUGAUCAGAUGCAGAAUGAGCAUGGCAUUGUACCAGAAAUGAGCCACUACGCGUGCAUGGUAGACCUCCUUGCCCGUGCUGGCCUGCUCACAGAAGCUCAGGAAUUCAUUCAACGGAUGCCUGUCAUGCCAGAUGCAAUAGUCUGGGGUUCACUCCUUUCAGCUUGCAGAGUGCGAAAGAAUGCAGAUUUAGCAGAACUCGCCGCGGAGAAGCUGUUGUUAAUUGAUCCUGAUAAUAGUGGCGCCUACUCUGCUCUUGCCAAUGUCUAUUCUGCCUGUGGGAGGUGGAAUGAUGCGGCAAGGAUCUGGAAGCUGAGGAAGGACAAGGCAGUGAAGAAGGAGACUGGUUUCAGCUGGACUCAUGUGCACAACAAGGUUCACGUCUUUGGAGCAGACGAUGUACUGCAUCCACAGAGGGAUGCAAUCUACAAGAAGGCCGCUGAAAUGUGGGAGGAGAUCAAGAAGGCAGGAUUUGUCCCUGACCUGAACUCUGUUCUGCACGAUGUCGAUGACGAGCUGAAGGAGGAGUUGCUGAGCCGCCACAGCGAGAAGCUUGCGAUUGCAUUCGGUCUCAUCAACACCCCAGAGAAGACGACCCUGCGGAUCAUGAAGAACCUACGAGUGUGCAAUGACUGCCACGCAGCGAUCAAGUUCAUCUCCAAGGUUGUGGACAGGGAGAUUAUAGUGAGAGAUGCGACGAGGUUUCAUCAUUUCAGAGAUGGGUUCUGCUCGUGUAAAGAUUAUUGGUAGGAAACCUUUGUCGCAGCUUGCAAGUUGAAUGAGAAAGAAAUGUUCCUUUUUUUUUGGUUCAUAUGCUAUGGCAGUGUGCAAGAAACUCUGCAGUCAAUGAUCGAUAUUUGUAACAUGUAAGCUAUUUAGUUUAGAUGACUAAUUUAGUUUGUAAUCUGUCAUGCUAACCCUGAGUGGCAUCCUUUCAUUUUCAGAAAGCGUGGAGGCAUAGAAUAUGGAUUUUCAUGGGUACCUUGGAUCAUUCAUUCAUUGUUUUGUAAACGAAGUAACAAUGUUAUUGUUAAUGUAAAUACUGAUCAUCUUUCCCCUCAAUUUCAGCUUAUUCAUAACUCAAUGGCUAAAGUUGGAGGAAAUGUAUAUUGCUAUCGUUCAUGUUAACAUCCUUUCCACGAAGGAUCAGUCAUUUCUGUGGCAUUAUGCCGAUGAUGUUUCCUUGGAUUUAUUGGCUUUCAGAGAAUCGCGGUCGUAUCAACAGAAAGAUACUAUGGCAGUUCUGCACAAAAUUUCAAAAAAACGAGUCAUCAAAAGGGCCUGCAAGAGCAAGCAACAUCAUAAGGUGAUACCACACGACGUAAUUGAUACAAUACAAGAUUGAGGCAGGAAGCAAAUAUCCCUAAAACAGCAAUGCACUUGUUGAAACUUAAAAACACCACGCCAAUCUUUGACAAAGUGUAACAUGUCAACUCACUAAAACUGUGUUAGUAAUAGUUCAGAACAUAGUGAAAUGAUAUUUUCUAGCUACAGUAUCCAAAAAGAAGUCUAUUCCAAGGAACAGAAUGGUGAUCCUUCAAAAUGGUCAUGAAUGUUGAUUGCUGAAAUUGGCCUCACUCGGAGCCCACAUCAACACCCUUCUUUGCUAAGAAUUCCUUUGCCUCCACAAUAUCCUGUAUAGUAAGUCGAAGCUCAAACAUGUCAGAAUAAACCUAGCAUAUGGUCUUACGGCCACCAAAAAAAAGAAAAGGAAUAUCAUUCGGCAUGUACUUCUUUGCCAUUGUCAGUAUGAAAACUCAUGCAACAUAAUGCAAUAACAGCUCAACAAGUUUCCAAGGUUCCUCAGUUUAGUCAUGGAUAGACUCAGAAAUUUAGCCCCAGCUCCAGGUACUAAAGUAGCUAACCUGUUGCAGUAGUAUAGCUUCUUGAGGGCAAGUUGGGAAGAACAUAAGUCCAAAUCCAACCAUAAAAAGGCCGUAGCAUCCAAGAGCCACUACCAAGUAGAUUGGAAGCUGAAACAACAACCGAAUUCAUAAACAAACUACGAAUCACCUUCGCUAUAUUUUUAAGAAAUUUACAGGUGCAAAUCAAUGACACUGACCAGCCAAGUAUAACUUCGAGGAACAGUUGAGGUUUCAAGGAGUGCAACCCAGAUGGCUGAGAUUGCUACCAGUAUAGCAACAAUCUUGAAUAUGUGCUUCAUUUGAGAAUGAGAUGCUUUCCUGUCAUAAAAGAAAACAGAAUAAGGACACCGUGGAUCAGUUUUCCUAACACACGCAUUUUGACCCAUAUUCAUGCUGGCACGGCCGUACGGUUGUGUGGUUUAGUCGUACAUGGUACUCUAUAUGGAUUUAAGCUGGGCAAAAUGUGAAGACAUUUGAGAACUAUUCACACUAGCCAUAAAGAAGCUUAAAUGUUGGCACCUAGAGCAUUACAGUUGCAAUCCAGCAGGCUAGGGAAUAUGUAUGAAGAAGGCUCAAAUAGAUCUAGAAUAGUUCGAGUGGUGAUCCUAUGCGUCUUUUGGUGGAACAGCACCUAAGCAUGUGGACUGUUAUGGGAGCCUUCAUAAUUUCAGCAACAGAUCUAGCUCACUCAGCAGCAUCAACUGAAGAUGUGAUUUGGCACAUGCUUGCCAGUACUCGAUUCAGCUUCAUGGGAUGACAAAUUGGUUCAGGAAGCACUUGCGUAAUAGUGCGCCCUGAGAAAUUUUCCUUUUUUUCCUAGUGAUUGAGAGUAAUCAAAGCUAAGCAGAGAUAAAUCCACCAGAUGUGGUUGUAUUAACAUACUUUGGACUCUGGGUCUUUCUUUUGCAAAUUGUAAUGACAAGUGGCGAAUUUUGGACCUGGACAGCACACAGGGAUAUUUCCUUUGACAUGAAUGCACGCGCUUGUGGUCUAACAAACAGUAUAAUUGUAUGACCCAGUAUUUUUUUUUUGUUAUGUUAUAACGUUCUAGUUUAUGCUGUAGAAUAUCCUAUAAAAUGAUCAGAAGGCAGUACAAGCUCACCAUUUCAAAACGUUGAGCAUGGCAAUGGAUCAAAGGCAAAAAAUUGAAGCAUGGUGUGAAAAUCGAUCUAUAGCGCAAUCAAUCAGGAUCGGACCCAGCAUAGGAAAUCGAAGUUAGUAGGUAAUAUAUUGUAACUGGAUCAGAUCCGAAUACAAAUAGUUUUGUUUUAGGGUUAGGGGUGCUCCGUCUCGCACAGCAGAAGGAAAGAGAAGGGGCGGGCAUACCUGGUGGAUGCUCGUCGCCGGCAAAGGGCUGGGCGAAGACGUGACGAAUGGCGCUGCCGCUCGCCCAGUCGGCGCCGCCAGGGAAGGAAGACCAAGCAAGGGAGGAGAGUCAGAGAGAAGGGAAAGGGAGAAGAUGAGCCUGAGGCCGAGCCUGAGGGGGAGGGGCUGUCAACGAGCCGAGAUCGAGUGAGCCUGCCGCCUCAAGCUGGAGGAGUUCGAUAGCAUAUCCCGAGCCGAGCUCGAUCUGAGCCUGAGAUCCUGCCGAGCCUACAGCCCGAUAAGCUCGUCAUUCGUCAAGGUUCAAAAUAGACUCGAAUAGGCUCCAGUAUUGCAGAUCUUCUCUAAAUACGAAUUCUAAGCUCAAACCGAGCGAUUCCACUGGGCCACGUGGCUUCGUUUCCUCGUCCGUCAGAUCUCGAUCCAGCCGUCGACCAGGCACGAUCGCUAGCGUUUCUCGAACCUUCAUCCCAAACUUGACGAAACGCCAUCGCUGCCGCCCUCUCCACCUACUCCGGCUAGCGGACAUCGCGGACACCGGGCUCGAGGAGAGCUUGCGCUCCACCUGCUGAGCCUCCCCUCACCAAGAAGGCCAAGCACGAACGGGCCGCCGCAGCAUGAUCCUCGCCGCUACACCUAUCCCCCGCUCCAAAUCUUCACUAUACACGGCGCCGUCGCUCUUUCCGCCGGGGCCGUGCUCCUCACCUAUGCCGCCUCCCUUCCGAGAGAGCAAAAGUAGAUGGCGAGGCGCAGAGCGAGAAGUAUCAGUAUAUGCAGCAGCGCUGGCGUCCUCCGCACUGGCUAUUGAACGCGGAUGCAGGGCAACCGAGCUUUACAGGGUAGGCGGGCACCAGGAGGUCGAUGCGGGAAUUGUUCGCCGUCUGGCUAGCUAGCCUUCCUCUCGCCGUUCUUCCCGUUACUCCACCGCAUGUCUUGUCCUCGUCCAGCUCCUGGAACAACCUGCUCUCCUCUAUGGCAUGUGCAUUGCGCAUCUUGUCACAGGAAGAGCAGCGCCAACGGUGACUCCGCAGUGUGCAGUCGUAUCUGUUGUGCCUACAAUGUGCUCGACCAAAUGCCACUUCCAUGGCAAAUUUUCUUGUGGUAUGUCGCUCACAUCUGGACACCCUCUCUCAGCAAACACAGAGAUAAUAUUCAUAUAUCUGCAAUUUUUAUUUGACUUUCACAGUGCUCACGGCCAACUGCCUAGCACGAUAUUUUGGUAUUUAGGGUGUAUCCAUAAUUUAGACCUUAGGUCAUUGCUCUCACAGUGGAAGCUAUUUUGGAGUUUUAUAUAUUUAUCUCUAAAACUCAGCAUCUUAUCAUGCUACGUACCUCUUACAUAGAGCACCUCUGUUUUGUCAAACAAAAUUAUGGUAUAUAUCAAUCUCAGAGGUUUGAUUUACAUAACUGCACACAUUUAAAAAUUAGUUUUAACUACAGUUUCCCACGAUGCAAAUUAUAUCACUUUAUCAAGGACCAAACCAUCUCGAAAUAUUUGAACAGUGAAAUGCUUUUUUGCUAGGAUUACUAGCAGGGGUAAAAAAAACUCAUAGUGUAGAUCUUUGCAAAUAGAUAUAAUAACAUAGAUUAUGAACGUUGAAUAAUAUUUUGUACCUAUUAUACUGUAUUUGCUUUUAUUUACAUUUUUUCAUAAGCGAAUGAGCAGAUACACUGAAGCAGUAUGCUAAAGACAUACAAGAAAUUGAAGUGAAAAAGAUUCAUGCUGAGGAUAAACACAAGCAAACUGAUAUAUGCAUUGUGCAAGACUAAAUAGAAAACACAUCGAUCUGUUUGCCCUGAUGUUGCCUUACUUCUGUGUGCCUUUCUACUAAUCAUCUUCUCCACCUUAGUGAUAUUUGGAUGGACAGUGUGAGUGGGAUUAGGAUGUCAUAUAGAUGAGAUAAAAUGCAGGCGAACCUAUGAAAGGUGUGCUGAAGAGAGCUAAUGAUAUCUUAACAUUUUCUGAGUUGCAUGGAAUUGAGCAAUCCAGGCAUCUAUGGGUAUUAUAAUUUUAGCUAAUCCCGUCCCCUCUUGAAGCAUGAUCGAGCAGAAGUGAAACUAAGCUCCCUCAGUACUAUUUCAAUAGUGAAACUGUCAUUUCCUUGCAGGAGGCAGUCUGUGCAGCACCCUGACAAUGUUCCUUUAAGCUUUCCCCUCGUGUAUAUGCUGCUUCUUUCGUCAUGAUCAUUUUGCUCUAAUUUAUGACAAUUUGCCAUUGCAAAUUUUAUGUCCCAUCCUAUGAUGUCCGUGAUGACAGAAACGAGGUACAACAAGCCCACUUACCAUCCUGCUUAUGUAAUGUGCAUUUUCAGGUGUUGCCAGCAGGGAUAGUGUCAAAUGUACUAUGAAGAAGCCACUUGCAUGAAUACAGAAGCUACUAAAGAUAAUUUGAAAUAUAUUAACCAAGAGCUUCACACUAAUAUUUUUUAAGAUACAGUUCUGCCAGCAAGUCUUCACAGUUAAUUACUUUUUUUUGUUUGUAUACUGCUAUACGAUAAAUAAAGUGAUGCAUGGAAAUUUGUUACAUUUGAUCCAAAAGGUAUUUUGCGUCACUUGAUUAUAGCCAAUGACAGCUUAUGGUUACACCAGAAUUUUGCACUAAUCUUAUAUUAUUGUAGUGGUUCAACAUCUUUCAUUCUUUGUGCAAAUAGUAAACAAAGUACAAAAACUGAUCAUAUGUCAAACAUGAAGUCUAUUAAAAGACGCAAUUCAGUACAAGAAACAGAACACGAACAAUUACAUGCUAAAAAUAUGAGGUACAUCAUGUGGAAGAGACGUUAGUGGUCCGUUUCACAGCCCAUGGCGUGGCUCGGCUUUCUAGUAUGUCACGACAGAGCGGCUCGACAACACACGGAGGUUAUUUAGAAGGAGGAGACGCAUACGUAGGAGGAGGCAGAUUUAAUUUUGACGAAUGAAAAGAGAAAAUAAAAAUAGAAGCACAUCUACAUCUGGCUAUUUAGUUUUAUCGUUCUAUGCUUCUCUUAGUUUAUACGGCACACCAACUCGCUAGCUGGUGACUAGUGAGUGAUGAUGGACUCAACCUCCAGCAAUAUUGUUUCAAUAUUAUUUACAGUGCAUGAUAUUCAUUCCAAUGCCGUCCUGCUCGUGCGUUUUCUAACCCAUAGUUGAUUCCAAAGGCCCUGGAUAUGCCAACUUCGGAAGUAGUUCCUAUGCAGCACUGUGCUGCAUAGAAGGACUCUCCCUCACUAACAUGCAUGCAGGCUCCACUGCAAUCGGACCCACGCAUCAGCACGCAAGUCCCCCUGCAGUACCGUAGAGGAGAGACAUCCGUCAACAACUUCGGUGUUCGCUGGUUUUCAAAAAUCUUAAAUUCGCACCAUCAUCGCUACAUCAGGAAAAAGACGCAUGUGCCAAUAAAAUCAAUCAAAAACGUAUCUUUGAAAACUAAUUCACGCAACAAACAGAAAUACACGACUUUGGAAGCUCAACACUCCAAAAUUCUUGCUUCCGAAAUUCUAGCGUCUACAAAGAAAUAACAUAAGUCAGUCUUCGGAAGUAGCAGGCCCAUGUCUUCUCAAGAAGAUCAACCUUUGAGCGCAGCAGUUCCGUGGCGCCUUUCCUUCUUGAAACGAGAUUGAUCCGGAUCGAACCCACCUUCCUCUGCACCAUAGACUGCCCAUGAGGGCGUCACAGCCAUGUAAUCUUGGCUCUUAAAAGGUUCUCCAGAUAUCACCUGUAUUGGCGAAUGAAUGUCAAUUCAAGAGCUGGGAUUAUCUCCUAAGCUGUACGCCUGUACCACAAAGUAGUUGUUCAGGAAACUCACCAGUUCAUGGAAUCGGUCAUAAUCUAUCCAGGUAUGCCAUUUGCCGUUGAUCUUGAACUUAUCUACCUUUGCAAGUAGGACACAGCAUGAAUGAGCAUGCUCACAUGCUACUUCGUAGACACCACCGCUUUUUGAUGCCAAAACCUCGGAGAAUUCCUUUACAUCAGAGUGCCAGGGUACAUUCUCCAUUGUCAACUUUGAAGUUGCAGACCUGUAAGCAUUAUCAUAACAAAUGUAACAUGACAAUCAGCAACCGAAAACGCCAAGUCAUAAUCAGUGAGCAAAAAUAAAUAAAAAUGACACCUACGAGCCACAGUAUGUCACACCCUUGAUUUCGAUGAAAUCAGGUUGGCCAAGGUUUAGCAAUUUUGCAUAUGCAUCUAUCUCUUCUGCAUUCCAGCCCUUAACCAGCGUCAGUCGGUAAACUGUCCGUUGAUCUUUCUCAUGCAGAGACUUGAGUGAAUCCUAGUGAGAUGCCAAAGCAGGACACAAAGAAAUACAGUUAGUAUUUGUAGACCAUACAUUGAUGAUGUGUAUCUGGAAAUUUUCUACUUCUAUACCAGGAAACGCUCCCAAAAGUCUGAAAACAGUGGCCUGUCAACAGCUUUCAAGCUUUCUUUUGUAGCUGCAUCCACACUGACAUACAGCUGCGAACAUAUUGAUACUGUCAGUAUUCUUUAGAAGUUACAUUGAGUAUUCAAAUACAAAGAUCUGGAACUUAGUGCAAUGUAUUGAGAAUAUGACCUGAGUGAUUGGUUUCAACAUCUUAAUCUUUUCAGGAAAUUGAGCAUUUGUAACCAGAAACGUAGAUAUGUGCCUGCGGUGCAGCUCAUCAACCAGAGCAUUUAUCUCAGGGUACAUUAUUGGUUCACCAACCAGAGAUAAUGCACAAUGCCUAGGUGAUAGACCCUCUUCUAGUUUUUCCGGCUUUACUCCUGAAAGUGCAAGAACAGUAUUCUUAUCCAAUAAAGACUGCAGAAAAAAUUAUGAUAACCUGAAACAUUCUAGAACUGAAUAACAUUAAUGUCAGGCAUAGGUUGCUUGACAUAAAGCUUACAGUCAUGCUAAAAUUAUUAACAGAGGCUGCACAUUUCAUGGUCCCUAUAAUCCAUUAGGGAACGGGGGUUUUAGGAAGUAAAUCCUUAGGAUUUUCUUUUGACACAAAAUCCUUAGGAUUAUUUAGUAUAAAUGUGAACUACCUGAGAAUUCCUAGAACACUUCCCCUCUUCCAAACAAGAUAAUGGUGAGUGUUUUUACAAGGAUACACGCAUAUGGAUGUAAGCUUUCUUCAAGUUAUUUCUAGUUCAAACAAGAAACAUUUGCAGGCAUUGGGAAUAACCGUGUGGUCCAAUCUGCCUGAAGUUGAUGAUUUAGCAAAACCAUUAACAAACUAAUGACCUUAGCUAACCAACUUGAUUUGCCUAAUCAAUCAGCUAACUUAACAAUUAAGAAAACAAACAGAUAGACUAAUGAUGAUAGAUGGUAUAUCUCUAAACCAUGGACGCCAGGCUAUGGCACUAAUGCACGUCCAUACUCUGCCCUGGAGUUUUUUGUUUGAGCGGUAUGAUAUGCCCACUGAUGUAGUUCUAUGGGUGAGCGUAAGCGUACACACCUGGUACACCUUUCAUUUGCUUAACCAUCUUAGUGUGUUGAUCAAUUGCGGCAUUUACAAUGUCAAGUGGGUCAUCCAUCUUCCAUUUCCAACUUUUUCCAACAGGAUUUGUGUGAUGUCUCCAACAAAAUACACAUUUAUUUGCACAAGCCAAACUUGGAGUUGCCUCCAUGCAUCUGCCAAAUGAUCAUAUAAACAAGAAGCAAAUUAUCAAGGCUGUCAAUACAUUUUCCCAAUAUAAAAUUAAUUAUGGUUUUUGCGAUCCAGUGCAUAAGCAGUAAAUAUUGAUGAAUUAAGAUUUAAAAUAAAACUACUUGCAAAGCCAGGCUAUCUAAUUUACAAGCACUCAAAUUACUGUUGCAUAAGCAAAAGGUUCACCUGUGACUCUCUAUGCCAUAAAAUGAAUGCUUAUAACACCCUCCACGGCCUCGGAGCUGUGACUUAGUCCAUCUACAAAUCUUCACUCCACUAUGAGAACCAAGAAUUUUGUAACCCUGCAACGCACACAAAAUUUGGAUUGGUAUACUAUAAAUAUAGGCCCCAACUACAUGCAGCAUGGAAAUACAUAAACCUGACACGCCAACUAAAGAUAAUAAUUAUAAAAUACUCUCUCCGUUUGGAAUUAGUUGUCAUUCUUUGUUCCCAGUCAAACAUUUCUAUCUUUGACCAUCAAUUCCUAGAAAACCAUAAUAGUUUAACAACAUAUGAAAUUAUGAAUAAUAUAUUUUGAAAGCAUUUCUCAUGGUGAAUCUAAAAGCAUGAAUCUUAUUAUGUUAAACUAUACGAAUUUUAGAAAUUGGUAGUUAAAGACAGAAAUGUUUGAUUUAGGAUAAACCUAGAAUGAUAACUAAUAUGAAACAGAGGGAGUAUCAAACAUUCAUCAAAGUAUGCCACCCAAAUCAUGCAAGAACACAAUACUGCAACAGCAAAAGCAGCAGCAACCUUAGGGUUCACCAACAUGAGUCUGGGCAUCCCUAUGAAUUGUCCUGAAGUCUUAAUCAGAAGCAUCUCAAUGAUAUUUAGUUGCUUUCCUGUUUCUCAAAUCCCUUAUAAUAAGAGGAUUAAUUAUUCCACAGAAUACAUUCACUAUAUUAGCAUUUGCAAGAUAGUUAAAUGAAAUUAUACAAGGAAACUACUUCCAGGACAUGGUUGUAAUUAAUAAUAUUCAUCAAUCCUCAAACUUCCAAAAAAAUAAAAUUGCUCUGGUCUCUUAUUUAUAUGAUCAAUGCCAGGCACAUAACUACGUGCCCAUCACACAUGAUAAAAUCGUGUCAUUUUCCCUUUCAAUGAACGCUGGAGAUUAUCCAGUGCCCUAAGCCCCUAAUAGCUCCAAAUACAAAUGUGCAAUAAGGAUAGUAGUCUGUGUAUAUUAGAAUGUAUAAGAAAUACUCACCUGUUUCUCUAAGCUCGUCCUGAUGAUUGGUGUGACCAUCUCCUUCACACCAUUCUGCCCUCCAUUAGUCAAACCACCCUCCACCUUCCCGUUCUGCAUCCUGGUCGGCGCCUUCCCAGCAAUGUCUUCCAUGUCAAUCUCCCCAGACACUGCCUCCUCUUCGUCGUCGACAUCGGACUCCUCCCCUUCCAAUUCCAACUCAUCAAGCCCGUCGCUCUCUCCCUCAACCCCCUCGUUCAACUCCUCCCCCUUCACGACCCUCAGCACUGUCCCACUCCACUCCUCGAACACCGCCUCGAGGUCCCCACCAUCCACAUCGCCCUCCCCGAGGGGGACCACCUCAACGGCGCCGAGCGCACGCAGCCACCGCGAGAAGCUCCUCGCGGCAGCGUUGAAGGUCUCUCCAUAGGCCCGGGACCCGACCCCAAAUACGGCGAAGCGAAGACCGGACAGCAGGAGCGCCCCCGCGCGGAAAUCAGCGGCGGACUCCUCGAGCCAGCGAGCGAGGAAGGCCGCGGAGGGUGGCGGCGCGCCACCGUCGUGGGUGGGGACGAGGAGGAGGAGGAGCGGGACAGAGGGGAGGUCGUCGGGGUCGAAGGAGGUGGCAUCGGUGGCGUUUACGGGGACUCCGACGUCGGCGGUCAGUCGGGCGGAGAGGCGCGCGGCGAGGGUCUUGGAGGUCCCGGUGGCGGAGGCGUAGAGGAGGGUCGGGAUGGUGGUACGGGCGGGGCCGGUGGCGGUGGCGGUGGCGGGGGAAGGUUUGCGGCGGAGGCGGAUAGAUUUGUAGAAGAAGAAGAGGGAGGAGGAGGAGAGGAGGAAAAGAAGGGCGAGGUGGGAGGUGGCGGAGGCGGUGGUCGCCGUCGGGGAGGGAGGCAUCGCGGCGGCGGUGCUUGUGGGGGGUGCCGGUUCGGCCCUUGGGUUUUGGGGGUUUUGGAAACUCGCCUUUGGGCCGUGGUAGGCGGGCCCAAUGUAUGUGAUUAGUGACAUCUUCAUCCAAGAAAAAUGCAGAAACGUGAAUUUGUGCAGAUUCAGAAUUGGAUGCUUGAUCGUAGGUGGAAUUCUUGCGCAAAGGCUGCAGUAGCUACACUGAUAACAUAUUAACCUUUGAACAAGGAGUCAAUCUGAGUAUCUGACAGCUGAAUAUGAGAAUAUCACCAUGCAUCUAGCUGAUCAUAUUAUGAGCAAGGAGUUUAUGGAAAAUUGCUGGUCUCUGCUGCACAAAUGCAAGACCAGAACAGCUCAACAUGAGAGAAAUACACAUUACAAAACUUUGCUGCUUGCCCGCAUUUACACUGCAAAUGUUCAAGUGUAUGAAUCUUUACAAAUUGUUGGAACUUACAACAACACCAAGCAGUUGAUUCAGUGAUACAAUCUUUACAUAUUGUUACAUUUUGAAACAACACGAAGCUUGUAUCUUGUACAAUAGUGUCUAUAUAAUCAAGAAUACUUUUCUCCGAACAUGAUGUUGCUUCAGAGGAACUAAUCAAUGUAGCGCCAACCAUAACCAACCAUCGUUUUGGGCUUAAACUUGCCGGCAGAUAGUUGUCGACGAUUAGCAUAUUGUGGUGUGCAACGAAUGAACAAAUUUUUUGUACAUCUAUUCCAGAUUCACAGUUGAUGAUAUCGGACAUCCAGGGAAUCAACAGCAGUAUCACUCAAAAAUUGGUAGGCUGGAAUUCAAAGGUUAGCUUAUGGCCGCCAUGUUGUUUUCUUUACAGACAUGAUACCCUCCUUGUCCUUUCUGAAUGUCAUGACAAUUUCCCAGUGUAGUGACUUCAAAAUGGUCUCCAAUGGGUCAAGGAUCUCAAGUUUAUCCCUGAU